rnacentral:sRNA from 1 species
GAGAAGCGGCAAAAGAA